rnacentral:rRNA from 1 species
ACGCUCGACACCUACGAGGCAGCAGUGAGGAAUAUUGGUCAAUGGGCGCAGGCCUGAACCAGCCAAGUAGCGUGAAGGAUGACUGCCCUAUGGGUUGUAAACUUCUUUUAUAUGGGAAUAAAGUUUUCCACGUGUGGAAUUUUGUAUGUACCAUAUGAAUAAGGAUCGGCUAACUCCGUGCCAGUAGCCGCGGUAAUCUGAGCGGGCUGGCAAGGC